CCGGAAUUAUUGGGGCGUAAGAGCUCGUAGGCGGUUUGUCGCGUCUGGUGUGAAACUCAAGGCUCAACCUUGAGCUUGCAUCGGGUACGGGCAGACUAGAGUGCGGUAGGGGAGACUGGAAUUCCUGGUGUAGCGGUGGAAUGCGCAGAUAUCAGGAGGAACACCGAUGGCGAAGGCAGGUCUCUGGGCCGCAACUGACGCUGAGGAGCGAAAGCAUGGGGAGCGAACAGGAUUAGAUACCCUGGUAGUCCAUGCCGUAAACGUUGGGCACUAGGUGUGGGGCUCAUUCCACGAGUUCCGUGCCGCAGCAAACGCAUUAAGUGCCCCGCCUGGGGAGUACGGCCGCAAGGCUAAAACUCAAAGGAAUUGACGGGGGCCCGCACAAGCGGCGGAGCAUGCGGAUUAAUUCGAUGCAACGCGAAGAACCUUACCAAGGCUUGACAUACACCGGAAACACGCAGAGAUGUGUGCCCCGUAAGGUCGGUGUACAGGUGGUGCAUGGUUGUCGUCAGCUCGUGUCGUGAGAUGUUGGGUUAAGUCCCGCAACGAGCGCAACCCUCGUCCCAUGUUGCCAGCGGGUUAUGCCGGGGACUCAUGGGAGACUGCCGGGGUCAACUCGGAGGAAGGUGGGGAUGACGUCAAAUAUCAUGCCCCUUAUGUCUUGGGCUUCACGCAUGCUACAAUGGCCGGUACAAAGGGCUGCGAUACCGUAAGGUGGAGCGAAUCCCAAAAAGCCGGUCUCAGUUCGGAUUGGGGUCUGCAACUCGACCCCAUGAAGUCGGAGUCGCUAGUAAUCGCAGAUCAGCAACGCUGCGGUGAAUACGUUCCCGGGCC
rnacentral:rRNA from 1 species